UACGUAGGGUGCAAGCGUUGUCCGGAAUUAUUGGGCGUAAAGAGCUCGUAGGCGGUCUGUCGCGUCGGCUGUGAAAACUCGGGGCUCAACCCCGAGCCUGCAGUCGAUACGGGCAGACUAGAGUGCGGUAGGGGAGACUGGAAUUCCUGGUGUAGCGGUGAAAUGCGCAGAUAUCAGGAGGAACACCGGUGGCGAAGGCGGGUCUCUGGGCCAUCACUGACGCUGAGGAGCGAAAGCGUGGGGAGCGAACAGG
rnacentral:rRNA from 1 species